rnacentral:misc_RNA from 1 species
GGACUACAAGGGUUUCUAAUCCCUUUCGCUCCCCUGGCUUUCGUCCAUGAGCGUCAGUUAUGGCCCAGCAGAGCGCCUUCGCCACUGGUGUUCUUCCCGAUAUCUACGCAUUUCACCGCUACACCGGGAAUUCCCUCUGCCCCUACCACACUCAAGCCUUGUAGUUUCCAUCGCUGAAAUGGAGUUGAGCUCCACGCUUUAACGACAGACUUACAAGGCCGCCUGCGGACGCUUUACGCCCAAUAAUUCCGGAUAACGCUUGCCACUCCCGUAUUACCGCGGCGGCUGGCAC